AGUGCACAGAAGUUGUCAACAUUGGGCUGUCCAUAGGUAAGUCGAACCUCGUACAGGAGGAUCCGCUUUUCCUUCUUUUGACGGUAGAAGGCGCUGUUUCUUUACCUGACCCGAAAAUAUUACUACAAGGCGUUGCUUGCACUCGGGCGUUUUUUAGUUUCUCUUGCCGGGUCCUUCCUCUUUGAUUGUAGAAAGUGAAAACGGCAAUUAAAGAAGAAGCAUUUUUAAACAAAUUCAUCACAUUCCCUGUUUAGUCCCCUGCGACCAGAACAAAUAAUAAAUCUAUAAACGGGCCCUGUUUCGGAGAAUCCGUAAAUUUGGAAGUUGGAGGUAGAUGAUAAUGAAAGCUGUCGAGGUUGUGAGGAAUUCCGUGACUUCUUCGGCAAUACUGGGCAAAGAAAGCGUUCAGCAAACUCCGCCGCGCCGAUAGGUGAUAUGAGAUCAGUAUUUCUGUUCUGAUAUAGGAAUCCCAUACGCCUCAAGGGUGUCGAGGUACUGUUCAGCCACGCGUUGGUCGGCGAUGACAACAGCGUCGCUAUCCCAAAGGCUAUAAUUGUGGAAGUGAAGCAACGAAAUGCUUUUUUGAAGGUGAAGAAGAACUUGAACUUGAAGCCAAAAUGAUAGAGCCCUUAGGAGCUGAGGGCAAUGAGCAGACACAGAGAGUUCAUCUGCAUCUGCAAUUUGUUUAUUCAUCCAAGUGUUUGCUUUAAAUAGCAAUAAGGCCAAGAGGAGGUGAAGAUGAGGACAUGGAUGCGACUUCGGUGGAAGAAUGUUAUCCUUAUAAGUAAUCCAUAAAAACAAAAUUCUUCACCGGGAUAGUAGACACACGGUGUACAUGCAGGUGGAGGUGCUGCAACGUAUGUACUUGCUAGCUGGAAUUCUGGCUUUUCCUGCCGACAUUGCAGUUGGAGAGUUUAAAGCCAAAUAAUUGAGAUGAGGUAGACGGUGCUUAUUCAGAAACCAGUCUUCUGUAUGUGAACCAAGAAUUUGAGGUAUAAAGAUGCUGACUUCCCUUAGAAAUAAUAGUGAAAUGACUACUCAAGAUUUUAAUGCCUCCAUCAAUUAUCAAUGGUUCAAUCAUAGGUUAACUGUUUUGAUACUAAACCAAAAUAUUUAUCUAGUGUAAUGCUUGUCUGUAAUUCAUUCAGCUGUGAGAUUGUUUAGUUAGCGUGUAUUCCCAGGUCCUCCUAGACUUUCAGAAUGGCCAAGUCUCUUCUACCAAUGAAUGAAUCUUAUUAUUUCCAAAUGAUCUCCUCUAUGAGAAUCAAGAACUUGCAUUGCGAGAUGCUAAUGAUGUAAGUGCAAUGAUGCUGAUUGGGUCUCGAGGAUUUCUCUAUUUGCUUGGUUUUCCAAUUGCUUUCAAGAAAUUCUGUCUGGAGGAUUCUGCUGAUGUUCUUGGAGAUCAAGUAGGUUUUCAGUUGAUAAUUGUUAACCUACAAAGAACUAAGCUCGCUUGUUUCCUGUAAGUUUGAGUUGAGCAGCAAUAAAGAAAUCUGAUAUCCUCUAAAUUCUUUUUGCCUUUUAUGUCGUACAAUGUGUUAAUUCCAGUAAAGGCGUCUUUCUGCAAUAUGGUCAUCUGAAAUUAUUUAGCUAAUCAUUUACCCCUUGGAUUUGCCACGACAGUAGAGAUUGUUUUUCUUCCUUUUACAGUUUCCUCUUGUCAUUUUUAUAAGAAGUUGAAUACUUUGCUGCCGUUUGUUGCAUUAUUUGGAUUUUCUUGGUAAAACUAACCACAGCAAUGCAGCAUAACCACUCCAAGCAAAUUGCUAAAUGAACUUCAGAUUGGGUCUGGAUAGGUAAAAAUGCACGCCAAUGAGCUUCAAUAGUAUGCAUCCUUGAUCAAAGCCUACUGUUUGGUACUUCGGUUGCCAUCUUCUUUAACUCCUAGCCGAGAUGGGUGAUUGAUGGUAGGGGGUAGAAAGAUACUGUACUCAGUAAUCGCUCUGUUUUUUGUACGGGUUUCUGAUCAAUGUUAUGUUGCAAAUAAAACCGGACCUGGCCACUUGAGAGUUGAGAAUGCCUGAUGAGUCUGCUUGACUCCUGUAUGUCAGCUAGAAAUGAUGUCGGUUUUAUGGCGGUUGUAGGGUCAGGUUAUGCUU